GGUUAAGCGACUAAGCGUACACGGUGGAUGCCCUGGCAGUCAGAGGCGAUGAAGGGCGUGCUAAUCUGCGAUAAGCGCCGGUAAGGUGAUAUGAACCGUUAUAACCGGCGAUACCCGAAUGGGGAAACCCAGUGUGAYUCGUCACACUAUCAUUAACUGAAUCCAUAGGUUAAUGAGGCGAACCGGGGGAACUGAAACAUCUAAGUACCCCGAGGAAAAGAAAUCAACCGAGAUUCCCCCAGUAGCGGCGAGCGAACGGGGAGGAGCCCAGAGCCUGAAUCAGCAUGUGUGUUAGUGGAAGCGUCUGGAAAGGCGCGCGAUACAGGGUGACAGCCCCGUACACAAAAGCGCAURUGCUGUGAGCUCGAUGAGUAGGGCGGGACACGUGGUAUCCUGUCUGAAUAUGGGGGGACCAUCCUCCAAGGCUAAAUACUCCUGACUGACCGAUAGUGAACCAGUACCGUGAGGGAAAGGCGAAAAGAACCCCGGCGAGGGGAGUGAAAAAGAACCUGAAACCGUGUACGUACAAGCAGUGGGAGCACCCUUUGGGGUGUGACUGCGUACCUUUUGUAUAAUGGGUCAGCGACUUAUAUUCUGUAGCAAGGUUAACCGWAUAGGGGAGCCGGAGGGAAACCGAGUCUUAAUUGGGCGUUAAGUUGCAGGGUAUAGACCCGAAACCCGGUGAUCUAGCCAUGGGCAGGUUGAAGGUUGGGUAACACUAACUGGAGGACCGAACCGACUAAUGUUGAAAAAUUAGCGGAUGACCUGUGGCUGGGGGUGAAAGGCCAAUCAAACCGGGAGAUAGCUGGUUCUCCCCGAAAGCUAUUUAGGUAGCGCCUCGUGAAUUCAUCUCCGGGGGUAGAGCACUGUUUCGGCUAGGGGGCCAUCCCGGCUUACCAACCCGAUGCAAACUGCGAAUACCGGAGAAUGUUAUCACGGGAGACACACGGCGGGUGCUAACGUCCGUCGUGAAGAGGGAAACAACCCAGACCGCCAGCUAAGGUCCCAAAGUCAUGGUUAAGUGGGAAACGAUGUGGGAAGGCCCAGACAGCCAGGAUGUUGGCUUAGAAGCAGCCAUCAUUUAAAGAAAGCGUAAUAGCUCACUGGUCGAGUCGGCCUGCGCGGAAGAUGUAACGGGGCUAAACCAUGCACCGAAGCUGCGGCAGCGA
rnacentral:rRNA from 1 species